rnacentral:rRNA from 1 species
UGAAUCCGUGAUAUCAAUGGACACUACGUCUUGGUGACAUUGUCACACACGACGAGAUGGAGGAUCGAGAGGCCGGCAGAGUGAUGGAUAUCUGGCAAAAUUCGCCCUGAGAGUUUGAUCAUGGGUCAAAUUGAACGCUGGGGGCAGGCCUAACACAUGCAAGUCGAGCGGAUGACGGGAGCUUGCUCCUUGAUUCAGCGGCGGACGGGUGAGUAAUGCCUAGGAAUCUGCCUGGUAGUGGGGGACAACGUUUCGAAAGGAACGCUAAUACCGCAUACGUCCUACGGGAGAAAGCAGGGGACCUUCGGGCCUUGCGCUAUCAGAUGAGCCUAGGUCGGAUUAGCUUGUUGGUGAGGUAAUGGCUCACCAAGGCGACGAUCCGUAACUGGUCUGAGAGGAUGAUCAGUCACACUGGAACUGAGACACGGUCCAGACUCCUACGGGAGGCAGC